rnacentral:rRNA from 1 species
ACGGAGGAUGCAAGCGUUAUCCGGAUUCAUUGGGUUUAAAGGGCGCGCAGGCGGAUUGGUAAGUCAGUGGUGAAAUUCAACGGCUCAACUGUUGAUCUGCCAUUGAUACUGUCAGUCUAGAGUAUAGUUGGAGUGGGCGGAAUGUGUCAUGUAGCGGUGAAAUUCGUAGAUAUGGCACAGAACACCGAUGGCGAAGGCAGCCCACUAAACUAAAACUGACGCUCAUGCGCGAAAGCGUGGGGAGCAAACAG